rnacentral:lncRNA from 1 species
AAAGGAAUCGCUCCAUUCAAGAUUUCCUUUUCCUUCGGAUCGUUCGUCUUCGUCUGAUCGGCGUCUUCAACUCUGCCUCCUCACGAGCGAGGCAACGGCGGGGAUAGCCAACGGGUACGUCUCUCCUCGCGCCUUCUGCCCUCGUCUGUUCUUCUUCCUGUUUCUCUUGUUUUUUUCUGAUCCUAACUCUCGAUAGAUCAACUGGUCAAUAGGGAUUGUUGCCUGAGAGAUCAAAUCAUUGAGCGCACGUAGCCAGAUUAGCUUACAGAGAGAAGUACUAUAGUAUGUCCUAGCAGAUUUUGUCAUGAUAUUAGAUGAAUAUCUUCUAUAAUUAAUCUAAUAUUUUAAUUAGCUUUGUGCUAACUUACAAAGCUAAUUGUUCCUUUCAAUUUCAACAAGGUCAUGUCGGGUUUGGGAAGAAAGUAUCCAUCCAGAAAUAAUAAAGGAAAAAGGAACGAGGGGCCUAAAGGGGAAGAACAAAAAAAAAGCGUUUGGACAAGACAUUUUUCUUAUAGCCAUUAAUCAAGACAAAAGAGCAAUGAAGAGGUGUG